UGUCUCCUUUUUCUAAUCAGUGAAACUAAUCUUCCCGUGAAGAAGCGGGAAUAUCCCCAUAAGACGAGAAGACCCCAUGGAGCUUCAAACCCAAUUACACCCCUAACCCCUAUAACUACUUAACCCUUAGGAUUCUGUAUUAUUGGUUUUAGGUUGGGGCGACCACGGAGUACAACAAAACCUCCACAAUGAACGGAACUACUUCCUCAUCUGAGAGCUACAUCUCUAAGAAUUAAAAUAUUAACAUAAAAUGAUCCAUUUUUGAUCAAUGAACCAAGUUACCCUGGGGAUAACAGCGCAAUCCAUUUCAAGAGCCCCUAUCGACAAAUGGG
rnacentral:rRNA from 1 species